rnacentral:lncRNA from 1 species
CGUGAUCUAAUCACCAGGUGUGGUGCACAAAGAAUUGCUCUUUGCCAUAGUCAAACACACACCAGAUUCGCAGGACAGAGCAAGUUUAUUACAGCCCGGCCCCCCAUUCUGCUCAAAAGCAGUUUGGGCCGUUGGUGCAGUGCAGCCUCUUAGGAUCAUCCAGAUCUCAUAUCCGAUCUAGGGAAAUUCUUUGUGCACUGUCUGCGGUAUAGAAAAUCUGAUGCAAAGUAUACUGCUUCAUCCUAUUAGAUCAUGUA